rnacentral:rRNA from 1 species
GCCGGUGCGGGAUGAAGGCCUUCGGGUUGUAAACGCUGUCGUAGGGGAGGAAAUGCAAGGGGUACUCCCUCCUGUUUGACCUAGCCUAGGAGGAAGGACGGGCUAAGUUCGUGCCAGCAGCCGCGGUAAGACGAACCGUCCAAACGUUACUCGGAAUUACUGGGCUUAAAGGGUGCGUAGGCUGCGCGGAAAGUUGGGUGUGAAAGCCCUCAGCUCAACUGGGGAAUUGCAUUCAAAACUACCGUGCUCGAGGGAGACAGAGGUAAGCGGAACUCAAGGUGGAGCGGUGAAAUGCGUUGAUAUCUUGAGGAACACCGGUGGCGAAAGCGGCUUACUGGGUCUCUUCUGACGCUGAGGCACGAAAGCUAAGGUAGCANACGGGAUUAGAUACCCCGGUAGUCUUAGCUAUAACCGAUGAGCACUUGUGUGAAGGGUCCUCCAUAGCCUUUCAGACGUAGCGAAAGUGUUAAGUGCUCCGCCUGGGGAGUAUGGUCGCAAGGCUGAAACUCAAAGAAAUUGACGGGGGCUCACACAAGCGGUGGAGGAUGUGGCUUA